GUCUGCUGACAUAUUCUUGGUGGAGGAUCUCAACUCAACGAAGCUCAGCAGACUGGAUCGCUAUGACAGCAGCUACAAGCACAACAGGAACACUCGGGGGUUCAUAAAAUACAUGAUGACAAAUAACAGAGCAAAUAAAGCUAAACAAAACAAACAUGGUGACUACUCUGCCUAGAUAAUAUUCUCUCAGUGGAGAUGGCUUCAUAGUGGUUAGUGGAUAGAGUCCUCCCAGUUGGAAGUGAGUCACUGCCCCAAACGAGGGAGGUCCAGUUUCUCACGGUCUUGUUGACAAGUGAGGGAGUCGAAUAAAUGUCAACUUUACCAAAACCACAACUAAAAUGAGUUCUCUCUUGUGUGAGUUAACGUGUGACUCUUUAGAGUUCCUCUGUGUCUAAAACAUGUUUUACAGACUGAGCAGCUGAAAGGUUUCUCCCCUGUGUGAGUUAACAUGUGAGUCUUUAAAGUUCCACUGUGUGCAAAACAUGUUUUACAGACUGAGCAGCUGAAAGGUUUCUCUCCUGUGUGAGUUAACAUGUGAGUCUUUAAAUGACCGCUCCGUGCAAAAGAUCUUUUACAGACUGAGCAGCUGAAAGGUUUCUCUCUUGUGUGAGUUAACAUGUGUCUCUUUAAAUAAAUGCUCUGUGCAAAAGAUCUUUUACAGACUGAGCAGCUGAAAGGUUUCUCCCCUGUGUGAGUUAACAUGUGAGUCUUUAAAGUUCCUCUCUCUGUAAAAGAUGUUUUACAGACUGAGCAGCUGAAAGGUUUCUCUCCUGUGUGAGUUAAGAUGCGUUUCUUAAAAUUUCCUAAUGGUUUCUCACUAGAACUACAUUUUGAAUCACUGACAGAAACUUCAUCAUUAUUCAGAGAGUUUAAACCUGAUUGAGGUUCUCUGGUCUUCUUCCAAUCAACAGAGUCAUCAGUAUCUGGUUCAGAAGAGUCUCCAGUCUCCUCAUCAGUAUCUGGAGGUCUAUCUGGAUCUGUGUUCCUGGCUGGUUCUGGUCCACCACAAUCAUCUCCAUGAGCUUCUAUUUCCAUCUGUUCAGUUUGUCUUUGAUGAAGCUGAGAGGACUGAGCUUCCUCUUCAGCUUCACUCUUCACAGGAGUCGUAUGUGUACAGAUCGUAAAGCCCUCUGAGGCACAUUUGUGAUUGUCUCGAAGUAACAAAUGCAUGAGCUAAUUUUUCUGCAUUAUUUUAACACGGGAUGUGAUGGCUAUUUGUAGUAUUAUCGUGGUAACAUUUAAGCAAUAAAUGACAGUUGGAGGAGAAGUAGCACACAUGUUAUCCAUUAAUAUGGCCAACAAUCAUUAAACUAGUGACUUGACAGUCCAACGAAAAUUGGGAAAAGGUCGGACAAAACAUUUAAACUCUGUAAUAAAGUAUUUUUUUAAACGGAUCCUCGGAGCAAAGAUCAACCGGAGGUCGAACCCACAAAGUCUUCUCUAAAUGUGUGACCAUUGUCUGACUGUUGAUUAGAUAUUGAUGGUUUUUGAAGCCAAAAAGGAAAAAAUAUGGAAUUAAUUCUCAAUUAAAGUGCGUGAGAAGACCUCAAACAUUUUAUCCAUAUUUGUAUUCAUCUCCUUGCACUGAACACACUCUCAUUGGCCCUCGGAUACAUUCAUAUACUGUCAUGUAAUCUCAAACUAAAACCUAAAAGCUUGUGUCAGUCAUAAAGCUAAAAGGGGCUGAUCAAUAAUGCAAUGGCCUAAAUAUACUACCCCCCUCCCUCUCCCCCUCUCUCUCCACAUCUAUCCUCUCUAUACAGCCAAGCCCGUCAGAACGCCCAGCACAGUGAGCCCUCCUACCCCUCCAUCCCCAAGGAGUUCCAGUUGGACCUGGACAUGAUCGAGAAGGACCAGGGGAGAGCGUGCGAGCUGCCGGACCUCAUCCAACACAAGCUGGAUUAGCUGCUGGAGCCCAUCAUGAUCCCUGAACCCAAGAUGCGUUCAGUCUCUCCACAUUUUGAUGACCUCCACAACAGCACCUCCUCCACCAUCAACUUUGUCAUCUCUCAGGUGGCGAGCGGUGACAUUAACAACAGCAUACAGGCACUGGCACAGAUCGGCGAGGUGUUGCGGCAGGAGGACAAAGCC